rnacentral:rRNA from 1 species
AUUGAACGCUGGCGGCAUGCUUUACACAUGCAAGUCGAGCGGUAACAGGCCGCAAGGUGCUGACGAGUGGCGAACGGGUGAGUAAUGCAUCGGAACGUGCCAGUCGUGGGGGAUAACGCAGCGAAAGCUGUGCUAAUACCGCAUACGAUCUAUGGAUGAAAGCGGGGGACCGUAAGGCCUCGCGCGAUUGGAGCGGCCGAUGUCAGAUUAGCUAGUUGGUGGGGUAAAGGCCCACCAAGGCGACGAUCUGUAGCUGGUCUGAGAGGACGACCAGCCACACUGGGACUGAGACACGGCCCAGACUCCUACGGGAGGCAGCAGUGGGGAAUUUUGGACAAUGGGCGCAAGCCUGAUCCAGCAAUGCCGCGUGCAGGAAGAAGGCCUUCGGGUUGUAAACUGCUUUUGUACGGAACGAAACGGUCUGGGGUAAUACCCUGGGCUAAUGACGGUACCGUAAGAAUAAGCACCGGCUAACUACGUGCCAGCCGCCGCGGUAA